GAUGAACGCUGGCGGCGUGCCUAAUACAUGCAAGUCGAGCGAACAGACGAGGAGCUUGCUCCUCUGACGUUAGCGGCGGACGGGUGAGUAACACGUGGAUAACCUACCUAUAAGACUGGGAUAACUUCGGGAAACCGGAGCUAAUACCGGAUAAUAUAUUGAACCGCAUGGAUCAAUAGUGAAAGACGGUUUUGCUGUCACUUAUAGAUGGAUCCGCGCCGCAUUAGCUAGUUGGUAAGGUAACGGCUUACCAAGGCAACGAUGCGUAGCCGACCUGAGAGGGUGGUCCGCCACACUGGAAGUGAGACACGGUCCAGACUCCUACGGGAGGCAACAGUAGGGAAUCUUCCGCAAUGGGCGAAAGCCUGACAGAGCAACGCCGCGUGAGUGAUGAAGGUCUUCGGAUCGUAAAACUCUGUUAUUAGGGAAGAAGAAAUGUGUAAGUAACUAUGCACGUCUUGACGGUACCUAAUCAGAAAGCCACGGCUAACUACGUG
rnacentral:rRNA from 1 species